AGUGAACGCUGGCGGCGUGCUUAACACAUGCAAGUCGAGCGGGGUCCAACCGGUGGCAACACCGGGGAAGACCUAGCGGCGAACGGGUGAGUAACACGUGAGGAACCUGCCCCAGAGACCGGGAUAACCCUCCGAAAGGAGAGCUCAUACCGGAUGUCCUCCACUGAUCGCACGUUCGGGGGAGGAAAUGGAUUCUGCUCUGGGAGGGCAGGGCGGCCUAUAAGCUUGUUGGUAAGGUAAGGGCUCACCAAGGCAUCGACGGGUAGCUGGUCUGAGAGGACGAUCAGCCACACUGGGACUGAGACACGGCCCAGACUCCUACGGGAGGCAGCAGUGGGGAAUGUUGCGCAAUGGGCGAAAGCCUGACGCAGCAACGCCGCGUGGGGGAUGAAGGCUUUCGGGUUGUAAACCCCUUUCAGCAGGGACGAUUAUGACGGUACCUGCAGAAGAAGGACCGGCCAACUACGUGCCAGCCGCCGCUGUAA
rnacentral:rRNA from 1 species